AUUGAACGCUGGCGGCAGGCCUAACACAUGCAAGUCGAGCGGAUGAAGGGAGCUUGCUCCUGGAUUCAGCGGCGGACGGGUGAGUAAUGCCUAGGAAUCUGCCUGGUAGUGGGGGAUAACGUCCGGAAACGGGCGCUAAUACCGCAUACGUCCUGAGGGAGAAAGUGGGGGUUCUUCGGACCUUACGCUAUCAGAUGAGCCUAGGUCGGAUUAGCUAGUUGGUGGGGUAAAGGCCUACCAAGGCGACGAUCCGUAACUGGUCUGAGAGGAUGAUCAGUCACACUGGAACUGAGACACGGUCCAGACUCCUACGGGAGGCAGCAGUGGGGAAUAUUGGACAAUGGGCGAAAGCCUGAUCCAGAAAUGCCGCGUGUGUGAAGAAGGUCUUAGGAUUGUAAAGCACUUUAAGUUGGGAGGAAGGGCAGUAAGUUAAUACCUUGCUGUUUUGACGUUACCAACAGAAUAAGCACCGGCUAACUUCGUG
rnacentral:rRNA from 1 species